rnacentral:rRNA from 1 species
AGAGUUUGAUCAUGGCUCAGGAUGAACGCUAGCUGGAGGCUUAAUACAUGCAAGUCGAGCGGGAUUGGACCAGCAAUGGGUCCAUGAGAGCGGCGCACGGGUGAGUAACGCGUACACGACCUACCUCUAACAGGGGGAUAGCCCUGGGAAACUGGGAUUAAUACCGCAUAUAAUUCUGAUUUUAAAGUGUCAGGAUGAAAGUUGAGGCGGUCAGAGAUGGGUGUGCGUCUGAUUAGCUAGUUGGUAAGGUAACGGCUUACCAAGGCGAUGAUCAGUAGGGGGCGUGAGAGCGUGGACCCCCACACGGGUACUGAGACACGGACCCGACUCCUACGGGAGGCAGCAGUAAGGAAUAUUGGUCAAUGGGCGAAAGCCUGAACCAGCCAUCCAGCGUGCAGGAAGAAGGCCCUAUGGGUUGUAAACUGCUUUUGUCAGGGAAGAAACCUUUGGAUUUACUCCGAAGCUGACGGUACCUGAAGAAUAAGCACCGGCUAACUCCGUGCCAGCAGCCGCGGUAAUACGGAGGGUGCGAGCGUUAUCCGGAAUUACUGGGUUUAAAGGGUGCGUAGGCGGCCAGGUAAGUCAGGAGUGAAAGUUUGCGGCUCAACCGUAAAAUUGCUUUUGAUACUGCCGGGCUAGAAUUAGGAUGAGGUCAGCGGAAUGUGGCAUGUAGCGGUGAAAUGCAUAGAUAUGCCAUAGAACACCAAUUGCGAAGGCAGCUGGCUAGACCUGGAUUGACGCUGAGGCACGAAAGCGUGGGGAGCGAACAGGAUUAGAUACCCUGGUAGUCCACGCCCUAAACGAUGCUUACUCGACGUAUGUCGCUAGACGAUGUGCGUCCAAGGGAAACCGUUAAGUAAG